CAAAAACAAAUAUUUAUUUACUUUAUUUUUGAAGGACCGUCCAAACUUCCCACCCAAGCUAUUGCUAUCAAACUUGAAAUAAAAUCUUAUUAGUUUGUUUUAUGUCUUUACAAAUGUUCAAUAGAUUGUGAAAAAUAUACCUUGACCUUAUUGAAUAAUUUGAACAAUUUCCCCAUGAUAGAUUACGUUAUACUGUCAAGCACUCAAAUAGUCGAGCAGGCUGUCCUCUGACAGCUCUUGUUUUUGUUAUAAAAUCAGCUCACGACUUGGACUUGAUUGAGAAUAAAAACAUAGGCUGAACAAAAUAUAUUUUGGUAUCUUUUUUUGAAAUAGGUCAAUUUAACUGUUGUUUCAUAUCUUGAUGUAUUUACAAUCUAUUGGAGACAGUUCAAAUAUGUUAUAAUUUAUGUAUUGAGCUCAUCAAUACUUAUAUAAGAUUGUCUCAGGUGUAAAUCAUAUACAAAAGUAUUCCUAAAAGUAUUAUAAAUGUAUGCUCUUUGAAGGUUGAUAUAUGCGUUUUCACCAUGUAUUGUACUUAUGUUAUACUAUUGUGUUUUUAAUUACAGCUUAUAAAAAGUCAGGCUUCAUUUAGGGGCAAGUAUAUAAUUAUGUAUCGGGUAACAUAAAUCUAGAUAUAAUGAAUAUAAGUUUAUUAUAAGAUACAAGUUCACAAUUUAGGCUGCACAAUUUACCAUCGAGUAAUAAGAAAGACAUUUGUAAAAAUGGAAUAAUAAGAAAGGAAUUUGAAUAAUAAGUAAGUAAUUGUUCAAUAACAAAAGCUGUAAUCAUACUGGGAAAUUUAAGAUGAUGGAAUCCUGAGAAUUUUUUAAAUGUUAAAUAUUUGGAAAGGCCUAUAAAAAAAGGAAUAAUGCAGGAUUUUUUACAUGGAAUAAGACUUGAAUUUGAACAAAUGGAAUCGUGCAGGAAUUUGUACCAGAACUCCUUGUGCCAUAAAUGUUUAUGCCAGUGUUAUAAUGGCGUAGACAUUAAUUGUUACCCUAGUCUGUCUGUGUGUAUGUUUAGGGAGGACAUUUCGUGUCUGGCCCAUUCCAUUGUUGUGCAUCAUGGGAUUUUGUAAUAAAGUGGUGCUAAUGAUCAUCAUAUCAGGACGAUGUGUCGCUUGCAACAACCAUUUUAUUUGAUUCAAAAUCAAGGUCUCAGUGUUUGCAUAUUCACAAGAUGGAUAAUGAAAGUACAUGUAUCUGUUUUGCCCAUAAGUAGUGCAUGAUGGGAUUAAAAAAUAAACUGCCAUAAAUUUCAGCUUAUUAAGGCUCAAUUUCAGGAAAAAAACACAUGAUUCUUGCUUAAACUACAUGGUCUAUGUGGACAUUUUUUGUGUUAGCAUAUUCCUUGUACAGCUAUUGUAAAUGUUCAUGUAUGUGUCCGGUUAAUAAUAACAUGCUUUAUUGGAUUUAAAAAUUUGCAAAUUGUAUUUUGGGAAAUAAAAAUUGGCACUAAUAGUUGUUAUAUCAAUACAAAGUGUAUGGACAAAAACUUUGGCUGUCACUUCAAUGUAAAGGGCACAGGAAAUUUUUUGAGUUUGUGUGUAUUCCUCAAAUGUUAUGAGUAGAAGUAUGUGUACUUUUCCAACCAAUAACUAUGUCUUGCAUUAUGUGAUUUUGAUAUAAAUCGUCAAUAAUUGUCAUCACAUCGAGAUAACUUGUCAUGUGAAACAUCUAUGUGCUGAAGGUCAAGAUCUUAUGUUAUGCUCAAAGUUUGUCAUCGUUCACAUCGAGAUACCUUGUCAUGUGAAACAUCUGAAGGUCAAGAUCUUAUUUUAUGCUUUAAGUUUGUCAUCAAUCACAUUGAGAUAACUUGUCAUGUGAAACAUCUAUGUGCUGAAGGUCAAGAUUUUAUUUUAUGCUUUAAAUGUGUCAUCUAUCACAUCGAAAUAACUUGUCAUGUGAAACAUCUGAGGGUCAAGAUCUUAUUUUAUGCUUUAAGUUUGUCAUCGAUCACAUCGAGAUAACUUGUCAUGUGAAACAUCUAUGUGCUGAAGGUCAAGAUCUUAUUUUAUGCUUUAAGUUUGUCAUCGAUCACAUCGAGAUAACUUGUCAUGUGAAACAUCUAUGUGCUGAAGGUCAAGAUUUUAUUUUAUGCUUUAAAUUUUUGCUUUGUACUUAUGUGGUUAUAGUGGUUGCAGAUGUUCAUGUAGCUGUUAGUUCUGUUUCUAUGUGUAGUUCAAGUUAAAAGGAUUGUACGUGCUUUUCACAUUUUGUUUGUCACACAACACUGGUUUCGGUCUCCAGUGACAUGUAGCUGGGGUAUCCGUGUCUUUUAGACACAUUUCUAGAUGGUUGAGAAACAUUUUAAUUAUACCCCCACAAAUGAAGUUUAGGGGGGUAUAAAGGAGUGAACUUGUCGGUCGGUCGGUCUGUCUGUCGGUCCGUAUUAAGUGUCCGCUCUCUAAUUCAAGUAGUUUUCAUCCGAUCUUCACCAAACUUGGUCAGAAGUUGUAUCUACAUGAUGUCUAGGCCAAGUUCCAUUAGGGCCUUUCCGGGUCAAAAACUAGGUCAAGGGGUCACUGAGUGCGUUUUAAACAUACAGCAUGAUGUCCGCUCUCAAAUUCAAGUAGUUUUCAUCUGAUUUUCACCAAACUUGGUCAGAAGUUGUAUCUAGAUGAUCUUAAGGCCAAGUUCGAACAUGGGCCUUGCCGGGUCAAAAACUAGGUCACGGGGUCACUUAGUGCGUUUUUUUACAUUGAGCAUGGUGUCCUCUCUCUUAUUCAAGUAGGUUUCAUCCGAUCUUCACCAAACUUGGUCAGAAGUUUUAUCUAGAUAAUCUGAAGGCAAAGUUCGAACAUGGGCCAUGCUAGAUCAAAAACUAGGUCACAGGGUCACUUAGUACGUUUUACACAUCGAGUAUGGUGUCCGCUCUCUAUUUCAAGUAGUUUAAAUCCGAUCUUCACCACACUUGGUCAGAAGUUGUAACUAGAUGAUGUGUAGGUCAAGUUCGAACAUGGUCAAGUUGUAUCUUGAUAAUGUCUAGGGCAAGUUUGAAUAUGGGUCAUGCCGGAUCUAAAACAAGGUCAUGGGGUCACUUAGUGCGUUUUAAACAUCACAAUGUUGUCUGCUCUCUAAUUCAAGUAGUUUUCAUCCAAUCUUCACCAAACUUGGUCAGAAGUUGUAUCUAGAUGAUGUCUAGGUCAAGUUUGAAUAUGGGUCAUGCCGGGUCAAAAACUAGGUCACGGGGUAUCUUAGUGCGUUUUAAACCUCACCAUGUUGUCCGCUCUCUAAUUUAAGUAGUUUUCAUCCAAUCCUCACCAAACUUGGUCACAAGUUUUAUCUAAAUUAUCUCUAGGACAAGUUUGAACAUGGCCAUUCUGGGCCUAAAACUAGGUCAUGGGGUCACUUAGUGCGUUUUUUAACAUUCAGCAUGGUGUCUGCUCUCUAAUUCAAGUAGUUUACAUCUGAUCUUCACCAAACUUGGUCAGAAGUUUUAUGGAGAUGAUCUGAAGGCCAAGUAAGAACAUGGGCCUUUCUGGGUCAAAAACUAGGUCAAGGUGUCACUUAGUGCAUUUUAAAAAUUGAGCAUGGUGUCCGCUGUUUUUUGUUAAGACGACAUGCAAAAUAUUAUGUGUCAAUGCGGCAUGUCGGGGUAUUCGUCACGUCUGUGACUAAGCUCUAGUUUUCUUGUGAAAAUUAUGCAAGACAAGAAAUCUGUCAAAAUAAUCUCAUUGCACAUUCUACCGUAAAACAUCCAAACAUAAAAAUUUGUAGGAAAAGAAAUUAAGUCAGUUUAAUAUUGUUUUGUUUAAAGUUAGAAGUUUUAAAAGACAUUUCUUGUGUAUACCUUACAUACCGUGCUACACAUAUUUAUGCCCCCCUUCGAAGAAGAGGUGGUAUAUUGCUUUGCACAUGUCGGUUCGCUCACCGAAUGGUUUCCGGAUGAUAACUCAAGAACGCUUAUGCCUAGGAUUAUGAAACUUCAUAGGUGCAUUGAUCGUGACUGGCAGAUGACCCAUACAGAUUUUCAGGUCACUAGGUCAAAGGUCACGGUGACUCAAACCAGUAAAAUGGUGUCCGGAUGAUAACUCAAGAAUACAUACUCCUAGGAUCAUGAAACUUCAUAGGUACAUUGAUCAUGACUGGCAGAUGACCCCUAUUGAUUUUCAGGUCACUAGGUCAAAGGUCAAGGUCACAGUGACUCGAAAUAGUAAAAUGGUUUCUGGAUGAUUACUCAAGAAUGCUUACACCUAGGAUCAUGAAACUUCAUCGGUACAUUGAUCAUGAUUGGCAGAUGACCCCAAUUGAUUUUCAGGUCACUAGGUCAAAGGUCAAGGUCACAGAAACUCGAAAACAGUUAAAUUGUUUCCUGAUGAUAACUCAAGAAUACUUAGGGCCAGGAUCAUGAAACUUCAUAGGUACACUGAUCAUGACUGGCAGAUGACCCCUAUUGAUUUUCAGGUCACUAUGUCAAAGGUCAAGGUCACAGUGACAAAAAAUUCUAUUCUAUACGUACUAUUUUAUUCUGAAUUAGCAUUGCAUAUUUGUUAUGUGUUUUCAUGCAUUUAAAGUCCUUUCUGGGGAACAAUACAGGUUGCUGUGUAAUUUUAUUUUAUUGACUGUAUGAAUAACUUAAAAAAAUUCAAUCAUGUGCCAUUCCAUAUUUGACCAAUUUAAUUAACUUUUAAUAAACAUCUGUAAAAGUC